AUCAUCGCUCGGACGUUUCCUGGGCCACGCCCGAGGCAGCCGAGCCCAUGAGCAAUUGGGAUUCUGAGCAGCUGUGUCAUCCAGCCGGCUCUUGUACCAGAUCCCAGCGAUUUCUCAUUUCCUCCUGGAAACGGAGUGGGUUGUGAGAAUGGUGAAUAACCAAGAUGCUGAACCUUUGCCAGGGAGUGUGGGAACCUUUUCCCAGCCAGGACUCAGCCAGGGGAGGUUGUGGAGGAGUGUUCCUGUGUGGGGUCUCUCAGGGAGGACUUGUAACUCCUUAGCUCCGUGCUGCUCAGUUUCUCCAUCUGUGAAAUGGGAACUCUUUCCCCUCGUGCUUGCUAGAGGUCUGACUCGGACUCUGCAGCCUUCAGAACCACGAGGACUCUGCCAGUCUCCAGUGCACACGGAGGGUGGCCCGGGCCCUGUUCCCGCCUGCGGAGAGUCUCGGGCCUUGACCGGGGUGAGGAGCGGGAUGCGGGGCGAGCCCUCCCAAUUG
rnacentral:lncRNA from 1 species